ensembl:rRNA 5S_rRNA 5S ribosomal RNA
GCCUACGACCAUCUCACCCUGAAUGCGCCCGAUCUCGUCUGAUCUCGGAAGCUAAGCAGCGUCGAGCCUGGUUAGUGCUUGGAUGGGAGACUGCCUGGAAAUACCAGGUGUUGUAGGCU